GCUUCUCCGGUGAAGAUGGGCCUGAAGUAACGCUUGGGUUGCUUCUGACGUUAUAACUCAUCCUGUAGCUGCAGCAACCGUGGUCCUUGCAACCUCAUAAAAAUGUUGCCAGCAUUGUUUCGAUAGUGCUGCUUAAUUCUUGGAAGGUUCUUCGGACUUCACACAUUCCAGCAGUAGCUCUCUCAGCUCCUGUCCUGCACAGCUUUGAAGUGCUGGCUGGAGUGCAGUGGUGCCAUCUCGGCUCACUGCAGCCUCAACCUCCUGGGCUCAAGCGAUCCUCCUGCCACACCCUCCUGAGUAGCUGGGAUUACAGCGUCUUCAAAGUGUCUUCUGUAAAGACUUCUUCAGACUGUCAAUAGGAAGACUGAUAAACUCAGGUGUCUUUGUGAAGCUUCCUAUCUUUGCUUUUCAACUAAGAUGAAACAGCAUUUAAAAGAAAAUGCCAUGUGAGAUGAGAUCAGGAGAAUGGAUUCUUUCUUUCAUCUGAAUAGAGAGCUGCUGUUCGAGAUUCUAACUCAAAUAGCUCAAAGGACACCUUCUCCGGGAAACCUUCCCUGACUUCCGACGCUGUUUCCUGUUGCUUUCUGUCUGUGGGUGUUACAUAUUUUUCCCUUCUUCAACUAACCGUGUCUGAGCAGGACAGCUGACCUUCAAAAGUAAAUAUGAUUAAAGCUGAACAAAUCAGGUGAAGAAUUGAACUCCAGAAACCAGGAUGGCGGGAUUGCUCAAGAUCUCACAGAAUAAUCCAGCUUGUCUGGAAGUGAACUGCACUUAAGACAUUGGUAUUGCUGCCAAGAAAAAAGGAUCCCAUGCUGAGCUAAGGAAGAAUAAUAAUGAAGGGACAGCAUGAUAAACCAUCGACUGACCGCAAAAUGAAGCAGGCUUAUUUCCUGCAGGUUUUUUCCAUGGUUUUAGUCAGUUUUCCUUUAUUGUGACUUUGCUGGGGGACGGGGUGGAUAAUCCAUGCAAAGUGUUUCCAAUUUAAUUGGCCAAAGAGUAUUUCUUCAAGAAAUAUCUUAAAGAUGCAGUGUUUAGCAGAAUAAUGUUGAGAAAGCUGUCAACAACCCCUUCACAACUCGGCAUCCUAUUUUUUGUAUUCAUGCUUUACAUUUGUGCUGUUUAAUUUUUUUAAUCUUUGUGUUUAAUCUCCUCUUCUAAGUGUAAGUGAUUUCCUGACACCCAUUUUUUUUACACCCCUGGAAUAAUGUAUAUUCGUCAGUUUCAGAAUCCUAAAUGGUGUAAGAAAAUCAGGUAGAUUCAACAUUUUAAAACAUGCUGGUUGGUUAUUUCCACUUUGUCUUUUGUGAACUCCCUGAUCAUUUUGUUUCUAGGUUUUUUUUAACUCUACACAUUAAAAUAUAAUUCAAAAUGUGGCAAUAGUUAUAUAUAGAGAAGUGAAUAUAUCAGCAUUUAUAAUAAAAAAAGUAAACAAACACAUGCAUGCAUUAGGUAUUUGUCCUAAUACCCUCCCUCCUGUCUGCCCUCAACCCCUACAGGCGCUGGUUGUGCUAUUCCUCUCCCUGUGUCCAUGCGUUCUUCCCCUCCCUGUGUCCAUGUGUUCUCACUAUUCAACUCCCACUUAUGUGUGAAAACAUGUGGUAUUUGCUUUUCUGUUUCUGUGUUAGUUUGCUGAGUUUGAAGGCUUCCAGCUUCAUCUAUGUCUGUGCAAAGGACGUGAUCUCAUUCUUUUUUAUGGCUGCAUAGUAUUCCAUGCCACAUUUUCUUUGUUCAGUCUAACAUUGAUGGGCAUUUUGGUUGGUUCCAAGUCUUUGCUAUUGUAAAU
ensembl:lncRNA HULC hepatocellular carcinoma up-regulated long non-coding RNA